rnacentral:rRNA from 1 species
UAUUGCGCAAUGGGGGGAACCCUGACGCAGCAACGCCGCGUGAAGGAAGAAGGUUUUCGGAUCGUAAACUUCUUUAAGUGUGGAAGAUAAUGACGGUACACACAGAAUAAGCCACGGCUAACUACGUGCCAGCAGCCGCGGUAAUACGUAGGGAGCAAGCGUUGUCCGGAUUUACUGGGUGUAAAGGGUGCGUAGGCGGUUUGGUAAGUCAGAAGUGAAAUCCAUGGGCUUAACCCAUGAACUGCUUUUGAAACUAUCGAACUUGAGUGAAGUAGAGGUAGGCGGAAUUCCCGGUGUAGCGGUGAAAUGCGUAGAGAUCGGGAGGAACACCAGUGGCGAAGGCGGCCUACUGGGCUUUAACUGACGCUGAGGCACGAAAGCAUGGGUAGCA